CAAAUACUCCCUCCGUUCGGAAAUACUUGUCAUCAAAAUGGAUAAAAGGAAAUGUAUCUAGACGUAUUUUAGUUUUAGAUACAUCUAUUUAUCCAUUUUGAUGACAAGUAUUUUCGGACGGAGGGAGUAGAAA
rnacentral:pre_miRNA from 1 species